GGAAGGAGAAGUCGUAACAAGGUUUUCCUUAGGUGACCAUGGAGAAGGAUCUUUK
rnacentral:rRNA from 1 species